CACUCUGCGAUUAAUAAAGGUUUAGGAAAGAAAAAAACAAGAUUAAUGAAACAGGGUAAUUUAUUCUGAGACGGGAAUGUUUUCCGUCAUUUAGCUGUUUAAUUAUAUUUCGGUUUACUUUUUUUUAAUAAGUCUGUAAAUGUGGAGAAAGUCGAUGCAACAGUUGUGAACUUCUGUUACUUUCACUUUCAUCAUGAUGAUCGUGGCGCAGCAAGAAUUAACCGAGAAUGCUGCUGCUGCUGCUCGAUCGGUAAAGCUACAGAGAGAGAUACAGGUAACAGGUGUUUGAGACCGACUGUCGGCCUCCAGCGGAGCUUCGUCUGACGUCUCCAGCUCAGUGACGGGAUGGCAGCUGCCUCAGAAUCUGCAACUACAAACUCACCAGUGAUGAUGCGAUGGCUGACACCGACAUGAGAUGGACACACAUGCAGGGCUGCUCUCCUCCACCUAAAGUCAAGCAAAGUGCAAAUAAUAAUAAAGGAAAAAUUCAAGGAUUCAAGGAUUCAGUUAUUUCCCCUCCAGAACGUCCCACCUCUGUGGUGUUAAUAUUAACCGUCUGAUUAACUUACAGUGAGCUAACCAGCUCCGCUAAAUGCUAACAGCAUUUACAACAUUAAUAUUACUGCUCGUAGUGAUUCUGAUACUUUACACAUCAGGCAUUUUUAGUGCAGAGAGUUUGGACAUUGGACACAAUGUGUAAUGAAUUUAAAAAUGUUAUGCAUGAAUCUAACUUAGCUAACUAAACAAGCUAAAGCUAGCAAGCUCAAACAUAUCUUAGCCAGGCGCUAGCUAGCUCUUACUGGUAACAUUAGCUAGCAGCAGCUAACUAAGUCUUCCAUAUAAACAUUCAAACUGAAAACUUUUAACAGUUUAAAAGCAACAAUAAAACGUUUAGAGUUAUAA